rnacentral:rRNA from 1 species
AGUCGUAACAAGGUUUCCGUAGGUGAACNUGCGGAAGGAUCAUUACCGAAUUGUCGACACGAGUUGUUGCUGGUCCUCAAACGGGGGCAUGUGCACGCUCUGUUUGCACAUCCACUCACACCUGUGCACCCUCUGUAGUUCUGUGGCUUGGGGGACUCUGUCCUCUUGCCGUGGUUCUAUGUCUUUACACACACACUGUAACAAAGUCUCAUGGAAUGUACAUCGCGUUUAACGCAAUACAAUACAACUUUCAGCAACGGAUCUCUUGGCUCUCGCAUCGAUGAAGAACGCAGCGAAAUGCGAUAAGUAAUGUGAAUUGCAGAAUUCAGUGAAUCAUCGAAUCUUUGAACGCACCUUGCGCCCUCUGGCUAUUCCGGAGGGCAUGCCUGUUUGAGUAUCAUGAACACCUCAACUCUCAUGGUUUGCCAUGAUGAGUUUGGACUUUGGGGGUCUUGCUGGCCUGUGGUCGGCUCCUCUCAAAUGAAUCAGCUUGCCAGUGUUUGGUGGCAUCGCAGGUGUGAUAACUAUCUACGCUUGUGGUGUUCUGCCAGGCAACCUUCAGUGAUGGAGGUUCGCUGGAGCUCAUAAAUGUCUCUCCUCAGCGAGGACAGCCUUUUGAAUGUUUGAUCUCAAAUCAGGUAGGACUACCCGCUGAACUUAAGCAUAUCAAUAAGCGGAGGAAAAGAAACUAACAAGGAUUCCCCUAGUAACUGCGAGUGAAGCGGGAAGAGCUCAAAUUUAAAAU